UGGAAGUAAAAAAUCGUAACAAGGUUUCCGUAGGUGAACCUGCGGAAGGAUCAUUAACAUUAAUUUACUACACACUGUUUUUUUACAACAAAACAAAUCUAUCUAAAAACAAUUCUUUACAAGAAAUUCUUAAAACUUUCAACAACGGAUCUCUUGGUUCUCGCAUCGAUGAAGAACGCAGCGAAAUGCGAUACGUAAUACGAAUCGCAGCUCUCGGAAUCAUCGAAUCUUUGAACGCACAUUGCACCAUUGGGUAUUCCCAAUGGUAUGCUUGUUUGAGCGAAUACUUCCCUAAUCCUCACGGAUUGUAUUGUGUUUGCACGAAAAUAAUGACGACAGUACUCUACAAAACGGUACCGUCAGUACACUCAUUUUUUUUCCUCAAAUCAAGUAGGACUACCCGCUGAACUUAAGCAUAUCAAAAGGCGGGAGGAAA
rnacentral:rRNA from 1 species